CACGAACCGUACGAGCGUUAAUCGGAAUUACUGGGCGUAAAGCGCGCGUAGGCGGCUUUUCAAGUCGAUUGUGAAAUCCCCGGGCUCAACCUGGGAACUGCAGUCGAGACUGUCUAGCUAGAGUAUGGGAGAGGGAAGUGGAAUUUCAGGUGUAGCGGUGAAAUGCGUAGAUAUCUGAAGGAACAUCAGUGGCGAAAGCGACUUCCUGGACCAAUACUGACGCUCAUGUGCGAAAGCGUGGGGAGCAAACAGG
rnacentral:rRNA from 1 species